rnacentral:rRNA from 1 species
GACGAACGCUGGCGGCGUGCUUAACACAUGCAAGUCGAACGGAAAGGCCCUGCUUUUGUGGGUUGCUCGAGAGGUGAACGGGUGAGUAACACGUGAGUAGCCUGCCCUUGACUUUGGGAUAAAUUCAGGAAACUGGGGCUAAUACCGCAUAGGAUCUCCUGCUGCAUGGUGGGGGUUGGUAAGUUUCGGCGGUUGGGGAUGGACUCGCGGCUUAUCAGCUUGUUGGUGUGGUAGUGGCUUACCAAGGCUUUGACGGGUAGCCGGCCUGAGAGGGUGACCGGCCACAUUGGGACUGAGAUACGGCCCAGACGCCUACGGGAGGCAGCAGGGGGGAAUAUUGCACAGUGGGCGGAAGCCUGAUGCAGCAGCGCCGCGUGCGGGAUGACGGCCUUCGGGUUGUAAACAGCUGUCGACUGAGACGAAGCGUGAGUGACGGUAAUGGGUAAAAAAGCACCGGCUAACUACGUG